CGUCUUCAAUCUUCCAUAUAACUCAGCUGUAACAACCAAAUUUUGUUAACCCAGAAUCUCGGAUAGGAAAAUAUGGAAUUCAUCGGCUCAGGUGUUAUCGAGUGCAAAUAUGCAGUUCGGUUUUUCAUCAUGGUUAGAUAAGCAGUGAUGGUAUUGAGACUCAAAUGAAUUAUGAAGUAAUUGGGAUGUGUAAUUUCAUCGGAUAUAAUGAUAAGGGAUGUAGUUUUCUAAGUAUUUAACCUGUCAUGUAUCAAUUAUUUACUCUAUCAUUCAAAUAGAGUGUUAUGAAUAUUUUGAUAAGUUAAUUGACACAUCGACAAGUUGGUAAUUUUUUAAA